GACGAACGCUGGCGGCGUGCUUAACACAUGCAAGUCGAACGAUGAAGAAGAGAAACGCGAACUACGGAUCAAAUUUCACUUAGGAUUAGUGGCAGACGGUUGAGUAACGCGUGAGCAACCUACCUCUUACAAAGGGAUAGCCUCGGGAAACCGUGAUUAAUACCAUAUGACACAUUCAUAAGGCAUCUUAAGAAUGUUAAAGCUACGGCGGUAAGAGAUGUGCUCGCGUACCAUUAGGUCGUUGGUGAGGUAACGGCCCACCAAGGCGACGAGGGGUAACCCGGCUGGGGGGGUGAACGGUCACAGUGGAACGGUGCCACGGUCCAAACUCCUACGGGAGGCAGCAGUGGGGAAUAUUGCACAGUGGCGGGAACUCUGAUGCAGCGCCGCCGCGUGAGCGAUGAAGGUAUUCGUGUAGUAAAGCUCUGUUCUAUGAGAAGAAAAGGACUGUACCAUAGGAGAAAGCCACGGCUAAAUACGUG
rnacentral:rRNA from 1 species